CCGUGUAUGACUGGCACAAAACACACUGCAGUUUUCUGAGCUUUAGUCCGCGCGGACGGUUCAGCGUGCUCUCGGAAAGAUGAGUAAAGAAAUCAAGAAAGCAGGGCAACCACAGACUGCAAGGAAGCUGUCGCUGCAUCCCUUAGCAGUGCCCCUGCGUCCCACUGCAAGCAAAUACCUGCAGGAGAAAUGGGACAAGGCUGCGUACGACAUGCACAGAAAAAGAGUGAUGACAGCAAAACCAGUGGUAAACACGGGUCCACCAAAGACAUAUAGUUACCUCACUCCCAAGCAGAAGAAUCGCAAGGUUGUCCUUUGAACUGAAUCGCCGAGGACGCUGGAGAUUCAGAGAGAAAACGAUAGGCUUAGAGAGAAAAUAUCAUAUAUUAUGAGCACACCUGGAAAAAUCGACAACUGGAAUUUCUAUGAAAAGAAAAGCCUUGGGGAAAAAAAGCAGCAGAUGGAAAUGCUCAGAAUUGCCCAAGAGAAUCAAAAGAUCCAGGUUAAACUGAGCCAGUGCAAACCUUUCUAUAGUGUGAGGGCUUGGCACGAGGAUUGGCUCAAAACUACCGAAGUGAUGGAAAGAAUUAGUCAUUAUCCUCGUGACAGAGCAAAUCAGCAAAAGGGACAAGAAAAAAGCAGCAAGGUAAGCAGGAAAUGUGGUGCAAAACAAAAGAAGAAAAACGAGCAACAAGGAAGAGGAUGCAGGAACACAGAUAACUUUAAACCAAAUGCACUACCAAAUGAGAAAAGGAAUGAAAGAAAGAAAUCACAAGAUACACCCAAGAAUCCAGGUCCUAAAUAAAUAAAAGCAGUCAUUCCGUUGAAAA